rnacentral:misc_RNA from 1 species
CCACGAUCUCCACGAUCUCCACCUCUUCCACUUCUUCUCCUCCAAACUUCCGAUGACUAUUUAUAUCUAUAAAAAAAUAGUCUUCCCAUCAACAGUAAUCGAUUGCUCUUAGAAAUCAGUUAAUCUUUUCUUUACUGAAGUUUUGCCAAAUACGUCUUCAAGCUCAAGCAAGCGUUUAAAAGCAUCAUUCUCUUUGGCAGAUCAAAAAACAAUAGCAGAUUUUCAUUCGGUAUUAUCCAAUUUUC